AUUUCUGCAGACCAAUCGCGGCCUCCGCCCCCACCCCAUGCCGGCGCCCACUGGAAUUAUCCUAACACAUGGUCGCGCCCACAGAAAAUAUGUAGAGGAUAUUCUUGGAGAAUUAGGGAUUUCAUAGUUGUACUGUACAGUUUAGAUAAGAUAUCGCACGGUGUUCGACGUAUUAAUUUUCACAGAAGAAUAGUGAAGAUAGAGCGGGUUUAAACUUAAUCUCAGCC
rnacentral:lncRNA from 1 species